UACGGAGGGUGCAAGCGUUGUUCGGAAUUACUGGGCGUAAAGGGCUCGUAGGCGGCCAACUAAGUCCGACGUGAAAUCCCCAGGCUUAACCUGGGAACUGCGUCGGAUACUGGAUGGCUUGAAUUCGGGAGAGGGAUGCAGAAUUCCAGGUGUAGCGGUGAAAUGCGUAGAUAUCUGGAGGAAUACCGGUGGCGAAGGCGGCAUCCUGGACCGACAUUGACGCUGAUGAGCGAAAGCUAGGGGAGCAAACGGG
rnacentral:rRNA from 1 species